GAGAUCGAGCGGACCGCUUCGCCGCCGAGAUCGAGCGGACCCUGCGCCCCGGCGGCGUCGCCGUCCUCCACGUCGCCGUGCACUGCCGCGGGGACAAGUACUCCGCCUACGACCUGCUCGACGUUCAGGGCAUCGUCGGCCUCUUCCGGGGCUGCGACGUCGUCAGUAUCCCACUGCUAGCUGACAGAGCCGAGUACUACUGCUGGCUGCUGCUUGCUCAUCAGCUCGCUCUUUGCAAAGCAAGCUGGAGGCAGGGUGUCUUUGUCAGAGCAAGCUGGAGGCAGGAGAUUAAUAAGACCAAAGAGCUUCUAUAUUGUAGAAAGGGCCAAGUCUGGUGUCAAGAAGAACAUGUAACUUAAGCAUUUAGCUUGUGUUUUGGCAAAUGAUCUGUUGAUUCUCAUGGAAGCUUAUUGUUUAUGUUGCAACAAUUUGGUACUCGAUGUUAGACCAUAUGUGUGUGUGCUUUUGAUUUCUGAUCAGCUAACUUCCUUAAGAUUGUGAAUUCGCUUAUUGUCAGUCUGUCACUGAAAAGAGAAGCACAAUUAGAUACUUC